AUUGAACGCUGGCGGCAUGCCUAACACAUGCAAGUCGAGCGGAGCGGCGGACGGGGAAGUGAUGCCGAGGAAUCUGCCCGUUCGUAGGGGAUAACGUCAAGAAACGGGCGCUGAGACCGCAUCCUAUCAAAUGAGCUUCGGUCGGAUUCGCUUGUUGGUGGGGUAAGGGCUUACCAAGGCGACGAUCCGUAACUGGUCUGAGAGGAUGAUCAGUCACACUGGGACUGAGACACGGUCCAGACUCCUACGGGAGGCAGCAGUGGGGAAUAUUGGACAAUGGGCGAAAGCCUGAUCCAGCCAUGCCGCGUGUGUGAAGAAGGUCUUCGGAUUGUAAAGCACUUUUAGUUGAGAAGCGGUAUCUACAGAAUAAGCACCGGCUAACUACGUGCCAGCAGCCGCGGUAAUUC
rnacentral:rRNA from 1 species